AGCGUUCGUGAGUACUCUGGCAAGAAGUUCUAAGCUUUCCAGUUUUGAAAAGUGUAAAUAGAGUGGUUCGAAGAACAGCAGUUGAAGACUGACAAGAUCCCUCGUAUUUUUACUACACCUAUAUCACAGACAGCCCAUAUACCACUGAUUUUAAUCCACAUAGAGUCUUAGUUACAUUUUUUGUCUUUUAGUUAUGUAUUCAUAGCGAAUUAAUAAACAUGGCGUUAAACCGCUUUCACGAAG